rnacentral:rRNA from 1 species
GCUCAGGAUGAACGCUAGCUACAGGCUUAACACAUGCAAGUCGAGGGGUAGCAGGGUAGCAAUACCGCUGACGACCGGCGCACGGGUGAGUAACACGUAUCCAACCUUCCCAUAACUCGGGGAUAGCCUUUCGAAAGAAAGAUUAAUACCCGAUAGUACUUAUAUAGGGCAUCCUACAUAAGUUAAAGAUUUAUUGGUUAUGGAUGGGGAUGCGUUCCAUUAGAUAGUUGGUGAGGUAACGGCUCACCAAGUCUUCGAUGGAUAGGGGUUCUGAGAGGAAGGUCCCCCACAUUGGUACUGAGACACGGACCAAACUCCUACGGGAGGCAGCAGUGAGGAAUAUUGGUCAAUGGGCGAGAGCCUGAACCAGCCAA